GGGGAUUUAGCUCAGUGGUAGAGCACUUGCCUAGCAAGCACAAGACCCUGGGUUCGGUCCCCAGCUCUG
rnacentral:tRNA from 1 species